rnacentral:rRNA from 1 species
GUCGACGGCCACGCCACCCUGAACGUGCCCGAUCCGGUCUGAUCUCGGAAGCUAAGCAGGGUCGGGCCUGGUGAGUACUCGGAUGGGAGACCACCUAGGAAGACCAGGUGCUGUAGGCA